GGGCCAGCAGGUUGGUCGUGCCACCGGUACGUACUGGUCUCACUGAUUCCUCCUUCCUGAAGAACCGUAAUGCCAUUAAUUUGGUGUUGCGGGGAAACAGGACUGUUACUUUGAAAAAAUUAGAGUGUUUAAAGCAAGCUAACGCUUGAAUACAUUAGCAUGGAAUAAUGAAAUAGGACGAUCGAUCCUAUUUUGUUGGUUUCUAGGAUUGACGUA
rnacentral:rRNA from 1 species